GCCGAGGUAGCUCAGUUGGUAGAGCGCUCCCCUGAAGAGGGAUAGGUCCGCAGUUCGAUCCUGCGCCUCGGCACCA
rnacentral:tRNA from 1 species